GACUGACUUCACCGAUCCAACCAGAAAUAUCCUCCCCUCCUUUUUGGUGGGUCUUCCAACUCAGAUAGUUUCUGUGACCUGGUCUGUAGCACAGCCUGGCGUAACGGGGGAAGGAACUUCUGUCAGCACCUUGUAAAGCAACACUGUAAAUCACUGGUCUUCUCAUCAGAUGCACAUGUGCAGGAAAGAAACCAAAGCCAUCCACAGGCAUUGAUAGUUGACAGAUAUUCAUCGAUCUGCACGCAGAAUGGGACUGCUCCUCUUUCAACUGACGAGGAAAAAUUUGGAGAGCAGAAAAUCAAGAUGCAAUUUAUGAAGCAAAGAGAGAAGGGUCGCAAGCCUUCAGGAAGCAAUUGUAAGUAAGGCAGCACGUCAAUGUGAAGCUCCAGAAGACCUUUCAGAAAAGCCUAGGAAAAUCUACAGGCAGGCAGACUAAGAGCACCAUGGACGGCCUUAGAAAAAGAGGCGACGAAGAAACUUCAUCUGCACGUCCGUGCUUAUCUGAUUCCUGUCAGAACAGCGUUUCUAACCCCACAAAAUAGGUCCUGUGGUGACCGAGUGGAAGACAUGCAGCAGAGCACCAUCCUUCUGUGGGCGAGCAAGAAACUCAAGUUUCCUUUCACCUAGAUUCUCUUCACUCUUUAAACAGCCUUGUUCUCCACCAAGCCUCUUUAGACACAGGUAAUUACUGAGGGCCUAAGAUUAAACAACACGCACCUUUUUCAUUUAAGGGAGCUUAGUGUUCCAAGCUGAUUUACUAUUAACCUUUCUUCUAUAAAAAAUACCGGGAUUAUUUAUUAUCUCUGCUAUGCAAAGACAGUGUGACAUGUCACAUUCUCAGUUUUACAUGAUCCAAAGCAGAGGGUUUUCUGUGUUUCUCUGGCAGACUAAGACCUUAUGUACACGAGCACCUUUAACACCAUGCGUGCUUAAGUAAAUGGAUAUCAGUUUCAUCACCAUGUUUAAACUCACUUCUCAAGGAAAACCUGACAUUAAGAAAAAAAAACAAACAACCAACAAAUAACACAGGUAUCUAUUUGAAGCAAAAAGUUGUUCAAAAAACAAACAAGCAACUUUUCUUACACAAAGGAUACAGUCCAGCAAGAGUUUAGUAAGUGCCUCGUAUGCUGACAAAUCCUGCAUUUUAGGUAUUUGAUUGUAUGAAAAAUCUA